AUACGUAGGGUGCAAGCGUUAAUCGGAAUUACUGGGCGUAAAGCGUGCGCAGGCGGUUUUGUAAGACAGAGGUGAAAUCCCCGGGCUCAACCUGGGAACUGCCUUUGUGACUGCAAGGCUAGAGUACGGCAGAGGGGGAUGGAAUUCCGCGUGUAGCAGUGGAAUGCGUAGAUAUGCGGAGGAACCCCGAUGGCGAAGGCAAUCCCCUGGGCCUGUACUGACGCUCAUGCACGAAAGCGUGGGGAGCAAACAGGAUUAGAUCCCCUGGUAGUCCACGCCCUAAACGAUGUCAACUGGUUGUUGGGUCUUCAUUGACUCAGUAACGAAGCUAACGCGUUAAGUUGACCGCCUGGGGAGUACGGCCGCAAGGUUGAAACUCAAAGGAAUUGACGGGG
rnacentral:rRNA from 1 species